rnacentral:rRNA from 1 species
UACGGAGGGUGCAAGCGUUAUCCGGAUUUACUGGGCGUAAAGCGCGUUCAGGCGGUUUGGCAAGUCGGGCAUGAAAUCUCUCGGCUCAACCGGGAGAGGUUGUCCGAUACUUCCAGACUUGAGGGCAGUAGAGGGUGGUGGAAUUCCGGGUGUAGUGGUGAAAUGCGUAGAUAUCCGGAGGAACACCAGUGGCGAAAGCGGCCACCUGGACUGCACCUGACGCUGACACGCGAAAGCUAGGGGAGCGAACGGG